rnacentral:lncRNA from 1 species
AACUUAAAGAUGCUACGCUGUUGGCUUUGAAGCUGGAAGGAGGGCCCAGGAGCCACCCCUGUGCAGGUGGUCUCUCAGAAGCUGGCAAAAGGAAAGAAAACGAGUUCUCUGCAGAGACUCCAGAAGGAGCACGGCCUGUCAACACCUUGACUUGCAGACUCCUUACCUCCAGAACUGUAAGUAAUACGUUUGUGUUAUUGCAGCUGCUACGUUUGUGGUAAUUUGUCUCAGCAGCCAUAAGAAAGUAAGGUAGAAGGUUUUACUGCUGUCCCCAUUGGACAGAUGAGACUGGGGGUGAGAGAGACACCUCUGGGUUUUUCUAGAGGAGACCAGGGUCUCCAGGGGCCCUCCACCAGGCUCAAGGAAGUGGUGUGACAGGGCUUCGGGCCCAAAUCUGGCUCCAGAGCCCACAGGCGGAGCUCUCGUGAUACACAGGGCUUCUGCAGGAGGAGGUGUCUGGCGUAGUAUGGCUGCCUCUGGGCCUUCUUUUCUAUGAAUUUCUUUCUUUCUUUCUUUAUUUUUAAAUUUUUCUUGCCAACUGUGCCAUACCAUGAGUGGGAGCUGUUUCUCUUUUCUGAGGCAGUUUGUUAAGGAAGGCAGUUUCUGGGGUGAUAUUGAGAGGAAAACAGGAAGUGGUUUUAGCAUCCAGGGCUGAUCUGUUAGCUGAUUUAAAAAACAGUGCCCCCCUCCCGCUUCCCCACCACCACCACCAAAGUGGGAUUUCAUGAAAAUGAGGGGGUCAAAAAUCCAACUAUAGAAACACCAAGGGUGGACAAAGCCUUGUAAGGCUGGGGAAGCUGUUGAGUCUGGCUCCCAGCUAAAUCAGUUUGCUAGGUGGGGGUGGAGGCGCUGGUGGAGGGGAGACGCUGCACUUGCUCUCGCUGAGGAAGUUUAUCCUCCAGGGUCAAAGUCUAGGAGCCUGGAAAAGAGGCAGCAAAACUGGCCAUAGGGAGAGCAGCUCUAGGAGGGGAGGAUGCCACGUGCAAAGGCAUCAUGAGGCCUCUAGGGGAGCCACGCUUGAGACUGAAUGUUUCUCGUAUUGAGGUUAAGCCAGUGCCCCACGGAAUCCCAGACUUGGUUUGAAGUUGUGUGCAGGGAUGCAAGAGGAAGCAAGAGGAGGCCCAGUGCAGUGAACACCUGUGGGGGAGCUAUAGGGGCUGCUUGGAGCAGUCAGGUCAGUUCCUUUUCAAGGGUCUUCUUAGGCUCUGGUAGGAGGAAUACGGCACUUGCACAAAUUCCUCCAAGGUGAGAACCUGCAGGAUAGAGAGACACAGGGAGGCACAGAGAAUAGUGGGGGUUGGGAGGAGAAAGAAGUCCCAGUGACUGAGGUGGAAAGGAGAGAAAUGAAUAGUUACCGACAGUCACUCUGAGACAGGCUGCAUAUUCACAUAAAUCCUCUUGUUCGGGCAGUCUGAGAAACUGAGGCGCAUGUUACACUGUUGCAUAUAGCGAGGCUCAGAGAGGUUAAAUGACUUGUGCACACAGCGAGGACAGGCUGCAACCAGGAGUGAAACCUGGUUUUGGUUUUGAGCCCAGAAUAUUUUCCACCACGCAGCAUCAACUCCUGGGGGGACUCAUAAAAUGCCUCAUGAGUUAUUUAAUGAUGUGGAAUGAUGUUCAAGGGAUGGAGCUAAGUGGAUCAAGCAAGUUAUGUGAUCCAGUUCUUAUUAACAUGCAUUUAUCCUGAAAAUAUCAAGAUGAAUAUAUAAUUCACCCUAAUACCAUCAAGUGGCUACCUCAAGAGUGUUUAAGUUGGGGGUGAUUGAUGAAAAGUCUUCUUGCUAGUGUAUAUUUUAGAAAUUUUCUCCAGGGAGCAACACUUAAUAUAUUGAUAAAUACUAACGGAACCUUAGGCUUCUAAACCCAUUUGGAAUUUUGGUCUGAACAAAGAUUUCAAGGUAUUGUAGAGGUGUUUGAAGGGGUGGAUGGCCAUUAAAAGAUUUCUGAACAUAUGAGAAGAGCAAGAGCAAAUGUCUAGAAGCAGGAAGUGUUAGAACUGUUUUUGUGCCUGUGGGAAUGUGCAGGAAACAAGGAUUCAAGUGUGGUUGUACUGUGAGGACUCUGUAGGACAGUAGUGGGGGUGAGUAUGGGUUGUGGGGUUGGUGCCACCUUGGAGCAUCCUGGAUGCCGGAUUAGGAUGUGGUGCAGAGUUCUAUAUUUUAUGAGGGGCCUAAUCCAGAGGUGGCGGUUGAAAUGCUUUGCUAAAAGUAACACUUAAAAUGUGGCAAGGAAUUAGUUGGAGGCUUUGUUCUAGAAGUUGCUUUUUUGAUAAUAGGAAGCCUGGGGAAAGUCUCCUCAUCCCAGCCAAGCUGGUUCUGGGUUGUGGCACAUGAUCACCACCUAGUGGCUACACAGCCAAAUUGUAGGGCAAGUGGUCUUAAGAGUCUUAGAAACACUUCAUCAAAGCCAAAAAUCCUGGGAGGUCUAUAUUUUAUGAGGGGCCUAAUCCAGAGGUGGCGGUUGAAAUGCUGCCACCAUAUUCAUCUUGAUAUUUUCAGGAUAAAUGCUGUCGUGGAAAUGAAUCUGACUAGAAUCCAUGAGGAUGUGGGUUUGAUUCUUGGCCUCACUCAGUGGGUUAAGGAGCUGGCGUUGCCAUGAGCUACGUAGGUCGCAGACUUGGCUGGGAUCCCACAUUACUGUGGCUGUUGUGUAGGCCAGCAGCUACAGUUCCAAUUCGACCCCUAGCCUGGGAACCUCCAUAUGUG